rnacentral:rRNA from 1 species
CCCGGCAGUGACUUCAUGGAUGACUGUAGCACAUGUAGAUCUGGAGGAUUAUGUCGCAAUAAUCCUGAACUGACAUCUCUAUCGGGAGCCGGUUGUUCAACAUGUGCCAGAGCUCGCCUAUUCUGGAACUCAAUCUCAUUAUGGGAAGAUUCGGACGCCUCAUAUAUUGAUUGCUCGAGGCCACAACUGCUGGCUUCAGCCCUUGAUGAUUCGAGGCGUACAAUCCUAGGCUGAGUGAAUUAGUUCUCGAGGAUGAGGCCCAUAUCCAUGGUGACCAUUGUCCCUACUGUGGAGAUUGCCGUUUAGAAAUUCUGCUACUGACUCCUAUGGACCACGAUGUGGAUAUCGUCCUCUUCCCUUGAAGGAGACAACAUCCUGGAUCUGGGUCCUCCGUCGCAAAAAGAGGAUUGAUAUUAAAUUGUCGGGCAGGGAAUACCCAUCGGUUACUGUGAAAAAAUUAGAGUGUUCAAAGCAGGUUUAAACCGAUGAAUAUAUUAGCUUGGAGUAAUAUGAUAGGACCCUGCAACUAUUUUGUUGGUUUGCACACCUGGGUAAUGAUUAAUAUAGACAGGUCGGGAUAUUCGUAUUGUUUUGUCAAAUGUGAAAUUCUUGAAUUGCUGCAAGAUGAACUACUGCGAAAGCAUUUAGCAAUGAUGUUUCAUUAAUCAAAAAACGAAAGUUAGAGGAUCAAAGAUGAUCAGAUACCAUCGUCGUCUUAACCAUAAACUAUGCCGUCUUGGGAAUGGCAGUUGUUUUUUGACUCUGUCCACCACGGAUGACAAAUCAAAAUCUUUUGGUUCUGGGGGGAGUGUGGUCCCCAAGGUUGAAGCUUAAAGAAAUUGCCGGAAGGGA